UAGAGCGUGAUUGACGGCUAC
rnacentral:siRNA from 1 species